rnacentral:snoRNA from 1 species
ACGACCUUACUUGAACAGGAUCUGUUCUAUAGGCUCGUACCGUUGCAUCCUUUACCAAUAAGGAGGCAAGCACUUCAGUCUGGUUGAUGUAUUCUGACCUCUGGGCCAGAGCGUGAUUAACGGUCAGGAUUACCCUGAUGGGGCAAUCUGAUGGCUGUAGAGGAUCGUUCCUGCCUGGCUCUCACGCCUGUGCAGGGUGGCCCAGAGGUUGUCUGACAGACU